GGAAGCUGUAAAUAACACUAAUAAUUCAUCACAUGGAAAUUUCAAUUCCAGUUUUAUACUUCUUGACGUGAGAAACGGUUAUGAAUGGGAUGUUGGCCAUUUUCAAGGCGCUCAGCGGCCGGAUGUUGAUUGUUUUCGGGCCACUUCAUUUGGGCAAUCUGAGUCAGAGGUGAUUGCCUCAGAUCCUUUAGCAGCUGUUGAUAAGGAGAGAACUGAUAUAUUAAUGUACUGCACUGGAGGUAUCCGCUGUGAUGUAUAUUCUGCUAUACUACGUAAGCAAGGUUUUAAGCGAUUAUAUACCUUGA
rnacentral:misc_RNA from 1 species